CUACGGGAUGCAGCAGUGGGGAAUAUUGCACAAUGGACGAAAGUCUGAUGCAGCAACGCCGCGUGGAGGAUGACACAUUUCGGUGCGUAAACUCCUUUUAUAUAGGAAGAUAAUGACGGUACUAUAUGAAUAAGCGCCGGCUAACUCCGUGCCAGCAGCCGCGGUAAUACGGAGGGCGCAAGCGUUACUCGGAAUCACUGGGCGUAAAGAGCGUGUAGGCGGAUAGAUAAGUUGGGAGUGAAAUCCUAUGGCUCAACCAUAGAACUGCUUCCAAAACUGUCUAUCUAGAGUAUGGGAGAGGUAGAUGGAAUUUCUGGUGUAGGGGUAAAAUCCGUAGAGAUCAGAAGGAAUACCGAUUGCGAAGGCGAUCUACUGGAACAUUACUGACGCUGAGACGCGAAAGCGUGGGGAGCAAACAGGAUUAGAUACCCCGGUAGUC
rnacentral:rRNA from 1 species